rnacentral:lncRNA from 1 species
CGUUCUCUUUUAUUUUUAGACUUUUAUUGUGAAAUGUACUUAUUCUAUUAGAAGGUUUAGAUUUUUUAUGGGACUUUGUAGUUUUAUUAUUGACUUUGUAGUUUUAUUAUUAUUAUUAUUAUUAUUAUUGUUGUUGUUGUUGUUAUUGUUGUUGUUGUUGUUGUUGUUGUUGUUGUUGUUAUAUUGUUAUGGCAUGUCGGGUCAGAAUUCCCGCAGGAGAAUACGAGCUUCUGAUUGGACGGGGAGGAGCUGUGAAACUUUGCUGUGGGGAGUUCAUUUUUUUGUGCUGAUGGCUGCAACUGCCUCGUCUUGGACCUGGUAAAAACAUCGUCUCUUCGCUGCUUUAGGACAUUUUAUACAUUUUUAUGCAGCGUGACCGGAAUUACUUUUAACAACAAUGGAAACCUGGAAAAGUCACGUGCGCGCUGGGCUGCAGCAGAGAGACCACAGAGAGAAACUCCCGUUUGUUGGCGUUUUUACGAGCUUGUCUCAGCUGGAGGAAAUGUUUGAAAUCCGCAAACAGAUUCUGGAAGAUCAGUCUAAGAGGUUGGAAAUGCAGAAUUUCAGCUGACUUUGACUGUGUUAUUUCAGAGUUAAUUUUAGUUUAAGCGGUCUUUAUUUACAGUUUAGAUCGAGGUGGAGUUGAAGUUGGAAAAAACACUAGACUUCUUCAGCUGCAGCUGAGAGAGAGUGAACACCUGGAGGAGAAGUUGUCUCAGACAGUCUCAGAUCUGACCUCAGUCCUGUACCUGAAAGAGGCUGAACUUCAGUACUGGCAGUCACGAGUGUCCCAAUACCGCCAAGAGGCACUUUCUCUGGCUAAAGGGAGCAACACCCUGAAGGCGACCCUGUCAGAAAUUGAGUUCACAGCAGAGUCUCAGUCCAAAGAGUUAGCCGCCCUGCGUAUUGAGAACAAAAGACUCCACGAAGCACUGACGCAGGUUUGGACCGAGAAAGAACGACUCGUGCAGCGAUGGAUGGAGGAGAAGAAGGAGGAGGCUGACAGGCUUAAUAAAUACAACGACACACAGGAAAGGUGGCAACAUUUGGCCAAACAGCUGAAGAAGCACUUCCAGAGGGAAAUGGUCAAAGAAUGUGUUCCCAUAGUGACAAGCUCCAUGAGUACUACAGAAACGCCUCCAUCAGUCAUUCAGGGGAUCAAUAACACAACAGAUGUGCACCAGAGACACUCUAAACCCAGCUUAGAGCCAACCUAAUACUCCCCUGCAGGAACACCAGACGAUGAUGCAAAUGUUCGGACAAAUACUUAUUUAUCUAUUUUAUUUAAUGUACAGAUACACUGUAUUCUGAAAACAUCAUUUAGACUUUGUUUAAUUUGUUAAUUGACAUUUGUAUUUUUCAGUUAUUCUAAACUACACUUGUCAAAUGUGGACUUCAUUCUCCUUAAAGACUCCUUCUAUAAUUUAAAGUGUUAAAACAUUGACCUUGCUAAUGUUUAAAAUAUAAAGCAAU